GUGAAGGUUCCAUGGUUAAAGUGAAAAUGCCUGAGGGUAUAUAAGAAGCGUCGCUCGCUGCAUCGUUGUAUAACAACUUUUCCCGUUGCUGACGAACAUCCUUUAGAAGACUGUCAUCAUGAAGUUGGCUCUAUUGGGCGUGGCCCUCCUGAUGGUUCUCUCCCUUGUGGUGGAUCUAGCAGGAGCUGUGCCGAGUCCAGACCCUUCGCCCCUCGCACUCCCAGAGGCUGAGGCCCUGGCUAGCCCAGAGGCCCUGGCAGACCCGGAGCCUUUCUUCAAGAAAAAGGGGAAAAAGAAAUCGAAGAAGCAAUCUUUCAAGAAAUCCUACUAUAGGCCUAUGCAGGUUGUUCAAAGAAAGCCUCAGUGCUACUGCUGGUGAAUUGUCUUUAAAAAAAUAAAAUAAAAAACAUCAAGAGGGACUAAAAUUCAUAAACAAUCAACAAGCACAACGAAAUAAACCCUGAUGAGAUUGACUCUAGAUAAUUACCGAAGCGCUCCCUAUUAAAAUUCAAAGCCUUGAUCGUUGGGCCUUUAAUUUUUCAUUUGCAAUCAGUGCUUAAUUUCUUAAGUACGAGGUAAGCUCAAAAAUUCCGGUAACUGAAUAACAACUUAGCCAAGAACCUUUUCACCAACACUUUAAUAUGGGUUCUCCCUUAAGAAACUCUACUCUUGGUGAUAUAGUUAUUGAUAUGAUUAUUUUUAUUAACUGAUAAAAGUCCAGAAUUAGCCAAAACUGUCAGUAGUAACCUUCAUUUCAACAGACACGGCAACGGAUAUUUUCGGGCAACUAUUCAUUGUCAUAGUUCACGAAUUUGAGGCUUUCAUUUACUUUUAGUCCUAAAAGUAUUUCUUGAUCACGAAAAAAUUUCCAGUGAAUCUGAACCUUUUUAUGACUUGGAUCUUGUACUUGCUUGAUUGUUAUUCAAGAGAAAAGUUGUAAGCGAAUAAAGAAUUAGAAAAAUUU